GCAACUAUUGUAUCAUAACCAUAAUAUGAACAAAAUUUUCCUAAUUCUUUUUUAUUAUCUUGUUUUUCUUUUUUCAUUUGACUCUUUAAUUUGAGAUAUGUACAAAGAGCUAAACCUUCAUUAUCGAUAAAAGUAAUUAAUUCUCCAUAUGUUAAUGACUCAUAAGGAAUUCUACCAUUAUGAAUAUUUCUUAUUCUUUGUCUAACUUUUUUUGCAAAUAAAGUGGGUAAACCUAAUAUAGAUUUUUCUUUCCAAUAAUGACUUCCACGAUCAUGUCUUGACAUAACUUUGACUAAAAACAUGUCUUUAUACCACUUAAAAUCUUGAAGUUUUG
rnacentral:lncRNA from 1 species